rnacentral:rRNA from 1 species
AUUGAACGCUGGCGGCAGGCCUAACACAUGCAAGUCGAGCGGAUGAAGGGAGCUUGCUCCUGAUUCAGCGGCGGACGGGUGAGUAAUGCCUAGGAAUCUGCCUGGUAGUGGGGGAUAACGUCCGGAAACGGGCGCUAAUACCGCAUACGUCCUGAGGGAGAAAGUGGGGGAUCUUCGGACCCCACGCUAUCAGAUGAGCCUAGGUCGGAUUAGCUAGUUGGUGGGGUAAAGGCCUACCAAGGCGACGAUCCGUAACUGGUCUGAGAGGAUGAUCAGUCACACUGGAACUGAGACACGGUCCAGACUCCUACGGGAGGCAGCAGUGGGGAAUAUUGGACAAUGGGCGAAAGCCUGAUCCAGCCAUGCCGCGUGUGUGAAGAAGGUCUUCGGAUUGUAAAGCACUUUAAGUUGGGAGGAAGGGCAGUAAGUUAAUACCUUGCUGUUUUGACGUUACCAACAGAAUAAGCACCGGCUAACUUCGUG